UCUGUAGGUGACCUGCGGAAGGAUCAUUAUUGAAUUUUGAAAGAGGUUGUAGCUGAUCAAAAAAAAAGAUAUGUGCACACCUCAUUUCCAAAUUUUACACCCAUGUGCACUCUUUGUAGGCCAUUUGGCCUAUGUCUUCAUAAUACACUCUUAAAAGGUUUCAGAAUGUGAAAUGUAUAUCUUAAAUUAAUACAACUUUCAACAACGGAUCUCUUGGCUCUCGCAUCGAUGAAGAACGCAGCGAAAUGCGAUAAGUAAUGUGAAUUGCAGAAUUCAGUGAAUCAUCGAAUCUUUGAACGCACCUUGCGCUCCUUGGUAUUCCGAGGAGCAUGCCUGUUUGAGUAUCAUUAAAAUCUCAAUCCUUUGUUCAAUUUAUUUUUGAAUUAAAGGCUUUGGACUUGGAGGUGUUGCUGGUCUUUCUUUAAAGUCGGCUCCUCUUAAAUGCAUUAGCUUGGACCUUUUGCAGAUAAGCUUUAGUUUGAUAAAUAUCUAUGCUAAUUGUCUUUGAAGCAACAAAUGCCAGCUUCCAAUUGAACUUGCUUUAUUGCAAUUCCUUUCUUAAGUUUGAUCUCAAAUCAGGUAGGACUACCCGCUGAACUUAAGCAUAUCAAUAAGCGGAGGAAAAGAAACUAACAAGGAUUCCCCUAGUAACUGCGAGUGAAGCGGGAAAAGCUCAAAUUUAAAAUCUGACAAGUCUUUUGACUGUCCGAGUUGUAAUCUAGAGAAGUGCUUUCCGCGUUGGACUGUGUACAAGUCUUUUGGAACAGAGCUUCAUAGAAGGUGA
rnacentral:rRNA from 1 species